rnacentral:rRNA from 1 species
GACGAACGCUGGCGGCGUGCCUAAUACAUGCAAGUUGAGCGCUGAAGGUUGGUACUUGUACCAACUGGAUGAGCAGCGAACGGGUGAGUAACGCGUGGGGAAUCUGCCUUUGAGCGGGGGACAACAUUUGGAAACGAAUGCUAAUACCGCAUAAAAACUUUAAACACAAGUUUUAAGUUUGAAAGAUGCAAUUGCAUCACUCAAAGAUGAUCCCGCGUUGUAUUAGCUAGUUGGUGAGGUAAAGGCUCACCAAGGCGAUGAUACAUAGCCGACCUGAGAGGGUGAUCGGCCACAUUGGGACUGAGACACGGCCCAAACUCCUACGGGAGGCAGCAGUAGGGAAUCGUCGGCAAUGGACGAAAGUCUGACCGAGCAACGCCGCGUGAGUGAAGAAGGUUUUCGGAUCGUAAAACUCUGUUGGUAGAGAAGAGCGUUGGUGAGAGUGGAAAGCUCAUCAAGUGACGGUAACUACCCAGAAAGGGACGGCUAACUACGUG